rnacentral:rRNA from 1 species
UACGGGGGGGGCAAGCGUUGUUCGGAAUUACUGGGCGUAAAGCGCGCGUAGGCGGCUUUGCAAGUCGGGUGUGAAAUCCCCAGGCUUAACCUGGGAACUGCAUUCGAGACUGCAUUGCUAGAGUAUGGGAGAGGGAAGUGGAAUUUCAGGUGUAGCGGUGAAAUGCGCAGAUAUCAGGAAGAACACCCGUGGCUAAGGCGGCUCUCUAGUACGGUACUGACGCUGAGACGCGAAAGCGUGGGGAGCGAACAGG